GAUGAACGCUGGCGGCGUGCCUAAUACAUGCAAGUCGAGCGAACAGACGAGGAGCUUGCUCCUCUGACGUUAGCGGCGGACGGGUGAGUAACACGUGGAUAACCUACCUAUAAGACUGGGAUAACUUCGGGAAACCGGAGCUAAUACCGGAUAAUAUAUUGAACCGCAUGGUUCAAUAGUGAAAUACGGUUUUGCUGUCACUUAUAGAUGUAUCCGCGCCGCAUUAGCUAGUUGGUAAGGUAACGGCUUACCAAGUCGACGAUGCGUAGCCGACCUGAGAGGGGGAUCGGCCACACUGGAACUGAGACACGGUCCAGACUCCUACGGGAGGCAGCAGUAGGGAAUCUUCCGCAAUGGGCGAAAGCCUGACGGAGCAACGCCGCGUGAGUGAUGAAGGUCUUCGGAUCGUAAAACUCUGUUAUUAGGGAAGAACAAAUGUGUAAGUAACUAUGCACGUCUUGACGGUACCUAAUCAGAAAGCCACGGCUAACUACGUG
rnacentral:rRNA from 1 species